CCUUCACUCCAAUCUCCUGCCAGACAUCCCCACUGACCACACCCAGCUGGAAGCCAGCGGCAAAGGGAGUCCACUGACAGAGUCCAUGGACAGCCUCUCAGUCUGCCAGGACGGGAGACCAUUAACAAGAAGAGGAGGAGGAGAAGAGCUUUGAAAAAGUGCCCUGGGAGAAGUCAUUCAGCCUUUUCCUCCAGGCUCCCUGGCUCUCAUGGACCCCCAUGUGCCCACCUCAGCCUUUUCUGGGUUGUGGCAUGAAAUGCCCGUGUGCUGCCUACAUGACCCAAGUGAUACUGCCAGGGAGAUAAAUUUGGGGUGAGCUGGGAAGCACAGAGGGACGGGUUAGCAGCAGAGGAAGUUGCUACCACCCCUAGACUGGGAAAACAAUAGGGGGAGGUGGAAUUGCCCGGGUCUGGAAGUUCGCUGGAGGCUGCUGCACAAAAAUGAUGUGGCUGCUGCAGAAAUGCCAUGAGAACCAGAAGGAAAAAGGGAAUAUUCUGGGUGUCCCUUCUCCCACCCUCUAAUCGCUUGCUUGUUGUUCUAAUUGGCUUCACUUAUGCAGAUGCUGGGAAAUGCAGUUCUGUCUGUAACAGAGCAGGCAGAGGGGAGAUGGAUGGAGCCCAAGCAGGCUCUCGACCUUGUGGUGCAUUUGUGCACUGGAGGUCUCAAGCUAGCAGAUCAUUUUCUUUGGUUUGGGAGUCCAGGGAAGCAAAUUAGUCAUAGAGGGAUUGAGUACCUUCUUAUCUCACCUACACAAGGGGAAAGCUGAGAAGCACUUGUGAGGGUCACAGCCCAGGGGCACAGGCUUACUAAAUGACUAAGUCCUAAUCAUGGGACUAUAAAGAUUUUUCCCUCUCCUCAUACAUUACCACCACAUUAACAGGCUCCUGUGUGAUAAACAAGAUUACAGCAGAAAGAACGAUAAAGCUAAGGCUCAAUUUAAGAAGGAGUCUCUAGGAAAAUCCCAAGACAACAAAGAACACAAAAACAAAAAGGCUAGAGGAAAUGGAAGGCCCUAGCACCUCCAGCUACAGCAGCCGUUAAACACAGCUUAACUUCUAGCCAUAUAAACAUAAACGCUCAUAAACUAAAGGCCUGUUUAGUUUCUAUUACUCAAUAAAUCAUUUCUGGCUUUGAAAACAAAAUUAUAAACCAUACUAAAAGGCAAAACACCAAAACCAAAACAAACAAAAUUGUCUGAAGAGACAAAGCAAGCAUCAGAACGUGGCUCAAAUAUGACACUGAUUUUGGAAUUAUUAGACCAGGAAUUUAAAAACCCUAUUAAAUGUGCUAAGGGCUUUAAUGAAAAAAAAAGUGGACAACAUGCAAGAACAGAUGGGCAAUAUAAACAGGGAGAAAAAUUCUACAAAAGAAUCAGAAUAAAACAUUAGAAAAUAAAAGCACUGUAACGAAAGUGAAGAAUGCCUUUGGUGUGCUCAUUAGUAUGCUGGACACUGGCAAGGAAAGAAUCAAUAAGCUUUAAGAUAUGUUAAUAGAAACUUCCCAAACUGAUAUGUAAACAGAAAAAAAUAAGGGGGAAAAAAGGAACAGAAUAUUCAAAAGCUGUGGGUCAAUUACAAAGGGUGUUAAGAUACACAUAGUAAGUGGCCAGAUAUGGUGACUUAUUCCUGUAAUCCUAGCACUUUUUCAACUGUAUCAAUUAUCAUUUUAAGUGGAAAUGAUUCAAAAACACCUUCUAAGAGACAGAGAUUGUCAGAGCAGAUCAAAGAACAGAAACUAACUAUAUGUUGUCUACAAGAAAUACACUUUGAAUGUAAAUCCACAGAUAGAUUACAAAUAAAAGAAUGUCAAAAAGCACACCAUGCUAACCCUUAUCUAAAGACAGGAAGAGUAGCUACGUUAAUGUCAGACAAAUCAGACUACAGUUUAAGGAAAACUAUUAGAGAUAAAAAGCAGCAUUAGAAAAGGAUAAACUGGUCAAUUUUCCAACAUUCUUCUUAAGCUCACAUGGAACACUUAACAAAAUAUACCACAUGCUGAGCCAUAAGACACACCUUAACAAAUUUAAAAGAAUAAAAAUCACAUAUACAGCACUGAAUGCAUAUGGUAGAAAAGAAGAAUAAUCUAAAAUCAGGAUCUAAGCUUUCAACAAAGGAAACUAAAGAAAAAGAACAGUAUAAGCCUAAAGCAAGCAGAAAAUAGAAGUAACAAAAAUUAGAUCUUAAUACCAGAAUAGGUAUAAGGACAUCAUAUAAGGACAUUACAAGAAAGAAAAACUAUGGACCAGUAUCUCUCAUGAACAUAGAUGCAAAAAUCUUCAAAAUAUUAACAAAUAGCAUCUAACAAUGUAUAAAAGGAUCAUAUUGGUAGGCUAAAGAAGAAAAAUCAUAUGAUCAUAUCAAUAGAUGCAGAAGAAGCAUUUGACAAAACUCAACAGACAUUCAUAUUAAAAAUUCUCAGCACUCUAGGAAUAGAUGGGACUUCCUCAAUUUGAUAAAGAACAUCUACAAAAGCCUACAGCUAACAUACUUAAUGGUGAGGAACUGGAUGCUUUCCUCCCAAAAUCAGAAAACGUGGCUCACGCCUGUAAUCCCAGCACUUUGGGAGGCUGAGGCAGGUGCAUCAAAAGGUCAGGAGAUCGAGACCAAACUGGCUAAAACAGUGAAACCCCAUCUCUACUAAAAAUACAAAAAAUUAGCCAGGCUUGGUGGCUUGUGCCUAUAGUCCCAGCUACUCAGGAGGCUGAGGCAAGAGAAUCACUUGACUCUGGGAGGCAGAGGUUGCAGUGAGCCAAGAUCGUGGCACCGCACUCCAGCCUGGACAACAGAGCGAGACUCCAUCUCAAAAUUAAAAAAAAAAAAAAAAAAAAAGGAAAGAAAAAAAAGACAAGAAAAGGGAAAGAAAAAAAGCAAUAUUGGGAUUGGGAAGGAAGAACUUAGUUCACAAAUUGAAGAUAAGAUGAUACUGGUAAAAUAAUCAACAAAUUGAUCAGUGGAACAGAGUUAAGUGCCCAGAAAUAGACGCUCACAAAUAUAGUCAACUGAAAAAGGGGCAAAGGCAACUGAAUGGAGAAAGAAUGCGAUCUUGGCUCACUGCAACCUCCGCCUCCCAGGUUCAAGCGAUUCUCAUGCCUCAGCCUCCCAAGUAGCUGGGAUUACAGGCCUGCGCCACCACACCCGACUAAUUUUUUUGUAUUUUUAGUAGAAACGGGGUUUCACUGUGUUGGCCAGGCUGGUCUCGAACUCCUGACUUCAAGUGAUCUGCCCGCCUCGGCCUCCCAAAGUACUGGGAUUACAGGCGUGAGCCACCGUGCCCAGCCAAGGAGAGAAAUGGAUUUUUCUUUGCACCCCAUCCUACCAAGCUGCACCUCUGCCUUAUCCCUUUCUUCUGAUAGCAUCUUUUAUGACUCCAUUUAUUCCAGAAAGCCUCACCCCGCAAAGCUCUUCCUGAUAUCCUUUCCACCUAGGCAAGCAGGUAAGGUACUGCCCCGCACCCACGACCCUGGAAUCCUGUUAUUGUCCCGACUCAGUCUGACCCGUGGCUGGCUGUGAUGCGCUGGGAUUCCUCAAGACCCCUUUCUGGGUUGGGUACAAAGAACGGGUAAAAAAGGCACACACACACUUUUUCAGUUUACACCAAACCAGAAUCAAAACCAAAAUCAGAGUAUCCAGAAAUCCAAGCCAGGUCAAAACCAAAACCAAAGUAUCAAGCAAUUCAAGUCAAGUCAAAAACAAAAACCAAAGUGCCAGUACAGGCACGCCGUGGGUGAUCAGGCCACGCUUCCACUCAAAUGGAGUGGGCAAGUUCCAAAGACCAGUCUUACCAAGUUUCAGAUGUCCGGACUCCAAGUGCCAGUUCCUUCCCGGUGUUCAGCCACUGCAUUGAUCCUCCACCAGGUCAGAACCACCUGGGACCGUCUCCAGACCUACUGAGUUAGAAUCCCUAGUCAGUGGCUCGCAGACCAGGGGCUGCAGACCAGCAGCAUGAGCAUCACCUGGGAACGUGUUAGGAACAGGCCCCCAGCAAUUUCAAAGAGCUCCCCAGGUGCUUCUGACACAUGGGUAAACUGAAAAAAAGGAGAAAUCAGGGGGGAAACAAACAGAAAGUCCCAGGAGUCAACAGAAUCUGACUUGGGAUUUAUGAGACAUGCUCUGGGUCCACAGCCCCCUUCAGGGUCUUGGCCCUGACCUCGUCUCGUUCUUCCCUACCUUCACACGUGAGAUGCUACUGUUAACACUCUAAUAACAAUCGAUGCUUUUAAAGCUGCGACCCUUUAGGUCCACCCCAGGAAAGACCAAUCCCUUGCUUAUACCUAACUGUGGCCUGCCCUCUUUGUUCUGUUACUUUCUGAUUAUAAGUCUCUUCCCUGAUAGAUGAUUCUGGAGAGAAAACAGUAUUGGAGGCUGUUGAUUGGAAAAGUAGCUCCUAAUACCAUCUUUGCAUGAGCUCUCUGGAAUAGCCAAAUGUUCUAGAUUCUGUAUUUGAUAUUUUGGCAUCUUGGAGCCUGGCUGAUGGUAGAGACACAGCCCCUCCCAGAGUUAGCCAGUUCCCACAGACAGUACAGGAUUCACCUACAAACACAUCUUUCACAUUCAAGCCAACCAAUCCAGAGCCCACACCUCCAACCACCUCCUUUAUUGGGCUCUCACACUCAAGGCCACCAGUUACCAGUCCCAGUCACUCCAGGGCCAGGUACCAGACAACUAAGGCAAUUCUAUGGCCCAGAGCCUGCUGUAAUUUUCCAAGCCAGCCAAUCCUAAGCCUGCCUCACCUGUUCCUUCUCACAAUAAAGCCUUCUGCCCAUAGCUUCCCCCUUUCCCUCUGCCUCCUGACUGACCUGAUGCUUCCCUGUGUGGCCCAGUGUACGCCCUCCUCCUGGGAACUGUGAGUAAUAAACUAUCUCUUCAAUGGCCAUCAUCUCCUGGUCUGUUGGCCUCACCA
rnacentral:lncRNA from 1 species